GAUGAAGAACGCAGCGAAAUGCGAUACGUAAUGUGAAUUGCAGAAUUCAGUGAAUCAUCGAAUCUUUGAACGCAUAUUGCGCUCUUUGGUAUUCCGAAGAGCAUGCUUGUUUGAGUAUCAGUAAACACCUCAAAGCUUUUGGAUUUUUUAAUAGAAAAGCUUUGGACUUGAGCAAUCCCAACACCAAUCUUUUUGAGAUCGGUGGCGGGUUGCUUGAAAUGCAGGUGCAGCUGGACAUUCUCCUGAGCUAAAAGCAUAUUCAUUUAGUCCCGUCAAACGGAUUAUUACUUUUGCUGCAGCUAACAUAAAGGGAGUUUGACCGUAUUGGCUGACUGAUGCAGGAUUUCACAAGGGUCGGCAACGAUUCUUGUUAAACUCGAUCUCAAAUCAAGUAAGACUACCCGCUGAACUUAAGCAUAUCAAUAAGCGGAGGA
rnacentral:misc_RNA from 1 species